AAAAAAUCCUUUAUGCCAGUCUGACCGUGAGUUGUCACUUUCUCGAGUUCGGCCAGUAGAAGCAGACAUUUUUUUGCUCACUCACUCCAACAAAACAUUUUUUUUCCAAACCUAUACAGUAGUCGCAGAUAUUUAAAGCGAGCUCAUUUAUUUUGUCCCCCUAUCCUAUACACCUGGUAAAUGUGCUUGUUAUCACUAUUGUUUUAACAUAGAUUGUGUUUAUUUCUUAAAAAAUACAUAAAUAAUAUUCCGGUACGUAGACGGCUAUACACAUACUGAAAAACGGUUGUCUAUACGCAACUGGUUGAUCGGUUGUGAAUACAGAACGGACGUGGUCGUAGUGCCGAAAUCUAACUCGUUGACCUCCGUGAGAUGGUUGUCUAUACUCUUAGAAAGGGCGGUGGAGAAAAUACGAUUCUCGCUAACACUAGCAUUGUCUGUACACCUGGUUGCUGCAUUGCGAGCUGAAGUUAAAAAGAAAUAUUCACACGUCUAUCGGGUACCUAACAAGGUGUAUACGUUGCAAU